GAGAAGGUGGCUCAGUGGUAGAGCGCUUGCCUUGCACACAUGAGGCCCUGGGUUUGAUUCCUCAGCCCACAUA
rfam:Dipodomys ordii contig_58194, whole genome shotgun sequence.